UAAAAUUAAUGGAUUGAACCAAUAAUUUUUAAGUUAAUAUUUAAAGUUUUAUUCUUGCUUAUAUAUUUAUUUAACAAAUGGUUUACAUGUAAAUUUUUGUGUGUUUAUAAUAAAUGGGUCUUAAAGGUUAAAUUAUUAUUCUCAGUAUUUAGGAUUAGUAAUCAAAUAAAGUUGGAUUUAGUAAUUUGUUAAAAAGGUCGGCCAAAUUUGUGCCAGCUGCCGCGGUUAGACUUAAGAUUUAAGUAAAUAAUCUUGGUGUGGAAGUUAAUUGUAAUUUAAUUAAAUAUUAAAUUUUUUUUAGAAGGUAAAAUUUUUAGAAUGAAGUAUAUAAUUUAUUUAAGAUUAAGCUUUGAAAUUUAAAAUUUAAACUAGGAUUAGAUACCCUAUUAUUUUUAAAUGUAAAUUUAAUGAAUAUACCUGAGUAGUAAUAGUUAAGGACUUGAAACUCAAAGAAUUUGGCGGUGUUUUAGUCUUUUCAGAGGAAUCUGUCCUGUAAUCGAUGGUACACGUUAUAUGUAACUUAAUUUUGUAAAUCAGUUUGUAUACCUCCGUCGAGAGAUUAUUUUAAUAGAGAAUAAAUUUUCAUAAUUUCUGUAAUAGGAAAGGAUGUCAGGUCAAGGUGCAGCUUAUAAUUAAGUAAGAGAUGGAUUACAAUAAAAAUAUUUAUAUGGAUAUCAUAUUGAAAUAUGAGAUUAAAGGUGGAUUUGAAAGUAAUAUUAUUAUAUUAUGAUAAUGUGGUUUUAGCUCUAUAACAUGUACACAUCGCCCGUCACUCUCAUUAAUAAGAUGAGAUAAGUCGUAACAAAGUAGAUGUACUGGAAAGUGUAUCUAGAAUGU
rnacentral:ncRNA from 1 species